UCCUCCCCCGCCGCCACUCACCAUCUUCCUCGGGAUCCAUCCCGAUCCACCUGCCUCCUCUCCCUGGAAUUCCCCGUCGGGCCAACCCUGGCCUCUCUUCGAUCCACCCAUCUAGCCAGCAACUCCACCCAUCCCAUCCAUCGAUCCAGCGCCGAUCCCUCGAUCCAGGCCCGAGGCUCCAAGCUCCCCUGCCUCCACGAACACGAGCGCCCGUGCCCCUGCCGUCCUAGCAGCAGCAGCAACAACCUCGCCGUCGCCGCCUCAGAUGAGCCCCUGACCUUGCCUUCUCUUGCGCCUCCUCCUCCCCGUCAUGCUCCCCCGCUCUCUCUCUCAUGCCUCUGCCUCUCUCUCACAGGGAACCAUGUUGAGGCCAUGGAGAAAAUGCAACACCGCCGCCCUUGGGGUUCGUCGCUGACGGCCAUCCCCGUCGUCCGCCUCUGCGUCCCUGCUCCAGAUCGGCCGCCAACAGCCGCCUUCCUCCGCAGCAACCCAGCGCCGCCGCCCAUGGAGCUCCUGCCUCCACUGCCGUCCGUCCGCGCGGCCGCCCCACUUCAUCUCCGCCUUGAUCCGAUGCCGCCGGACCCGCUCUUUUCCUGGCCUCCUCACUGCCGAACCGCAACAGCAGCUUCCAUGGCCUUGUAGCUCGCCGCCGGCCUCCACAAGCCAAGCGCCACCGGAUCUGGAGGAUCCGGGCCUCCCUCACUUUCCCGUGUCUGUCCCCUGCCUCUCCGUCUCGCCGGAGUCCCGUGCGAGCCAUCGUCGCGAGCUCCAGCGCCGCUGCUCCUCUGUUUUCUGUCGAACAGAGGGCGACGCGCCCGUAGCCUCCCUGCCUCGCGCGUCUGGGCCAUUUCCAGCGCCAGCAAGGUCCAGCGCCCACCUCGGCCUUCCCUCCAGCCGGCCUGCAUGCGCCCCUCUUGGGCCUCCUCCAUCGACCGGGCCUCAGCCCAUGCUUCGGUUUCGUUCCGGGGUUGUGAGGAUUCGUUCGACUACAUCCGUUUGUCUUCUUCAU